UGCCUUUGUGAGCGGUAGAUGAUGCUCGUC
rnacentral:piRNA from 1 species